rnacentral:rRNA from 1 species
GAUCAAGCUAAAAAGAGCGUAGGGCGAAUGCCUUGGCAUCAAGAGCCGAAGAAGGACGUGGUAAGCUGCGAAAAGCCAUGGGGAGCUGCAAGCAAACAUUGAUCCAUGGAUGUCCGAAUGGGGAAACCCGGCAGUUGUAAUUAGCUGUCAACAUGCACUGAAUUCAUAGGUGUAUGUGGGGAACCCGGUGAACUGAAACAUCUAAGUAGCCGGAGGAAAGGAAAUCAAAAGAGAUUCUCUCAGUAGCGGCGAGCGAACGGGGAAGAGCCCAAACCAUUUGUCUUCGGACGAAUGGGGUUGUGGGCCAGCGUAAGUGAUCAGAGGUAUCUAGUUGAAGACGGUUGGAAAGCCGCACCAAAGAAGGUAAAAGUCCUGUAAACGAAAGAGAAGACUGCACGGCUGGUACCAGAGUACCACCGGACACGAGGAACCCGGUGGGAAGCAGGGGGGACCACCCUCCAAGGCUAAAUACUACUUGAUGACCGAUAGCGGAAUAGUACCGUGAGGGAAAGGUGAAAAGGACCCCGGGAGGGGAGUGAAAGAGAACCUGAAACCCUAUGCUUACAAACAGAUGAAGCACUAUUAGAGAGUGUGACAUCGUACUUUUUGUAGAACGGGCCAGCGAGUUACGUUAUGCAGCGAGGUUAAGGCGUUAAGCGCCGGAGCCGCAGGGAGACCGAGUCUGAAUAGGGCGCAAAAGUUGCAUGAUGUAGACCCGAAACCGGGCGACCUAUCCAUGAGCAGGUUGAAGCGGUGGUAAGACACCGUGGAGGACCGAACCAGACGCAUGUUGAAAAAUGCGGGGAUGACUUGUGGAUAGCGGAGAAAUUCCAAUCGAGCUCGGAGAUAGCUGGUUCUCCUCGAAAUAGCUUUAGGGCUAGCCUCACUGGAAGAUAUGCGGAGGUAGAGCACUGAAUGGGCUAGGGGGCCUCAAAGCUUACCGAACCCUAUCAAACUCCGAAUGCCGUAUAUUAGUAAGUGGGAGUCAGACUACGAGAGAUAAGUUCCGUGGUCAAAAGGGAAACAGCCCAGAUCAUCAGCUAAGGCCCCAAAGUGCAGGUUAAGUGGAAAAGGAUGUGGGACUGCUUAGACAACUAGGAUGUUGGCUCAGAAGCAGCCACUCAUUUAAAGAGUGCGUAAUAGCUCACUAGUCGAGUGGUCUUGCGCCGAAAAUGUCCGGGGCUAAAACCUGCCGCCGAAGCUAUGGAUUCCGUAAGGAGUGGUAGAGGAGCAUCGUAUGCGGAUAGAAGCCAUACCGAGAGGAGUGGUGGACUGCAUAGGAGAGAGAAUGCUGGCAUGAGUAGCGAGAGGAAGGUGAGAAUCCUUCCCAUCGAAAGCCUAAGGUUUCCUGGGGAAGGCUCGUCCUCCCAGGGUAAGUCGGGACCUAAGCCGAGGACUAGAUGGUCGUAGGCGAUGGACAACAGGUUGAUAUUCCUGUACUACCUUGUAGACGUUAUACUGAGGCAGUGACACAGGAGGAUAGGCUGAGCGGGUUGAUGGUAGAGCCCGUCCAAGCAGUAAGGCUUGUGGGGUAGUGAAGUACGCUCCACUGUAAGGCUGAGCUGUGAUGGGGACAGAAAACAAGUAUGGAAGCAGCCAAAUCCACACUGGCGAGAAAAACUGCUAGGAAGGAAACAAGGUACCCGUACCGCAAACCGACACAGGUAGGCGAGGAGAGAAUCCUAAGAUGAGCGAGAUAACCCUUGUUAAGGAACUCGGCAAAAUGACCCCGUAACUUCGGGAAAAGGGGUGCCACGAAAGUGGUCGCAGAGAAUAGGCCCAAGCGACUGUUUAGCAAAAACACAGGUCUGUGCGAAAUCGAGAGAUGAAGUAUACGGGCUGACGCCUGCCCAGUGCCGGAAGGUUAAGGGGAAAUGUUAGCGCAAGCGAAGCAUGGAACUUAAGCCCCGGUGAACGGCGGCCGUAACUAUAACGGUCCUAAGGUAGCGAAAUUCCUUGUCAGGUAAGUUCUGACCCGCACGAAUGGCGUAACGAUUUGGGCGCUGUCUCAACAAGGGACUCGGCGAAAUUGUAGUACCGGUGAAGAUGCCGGUUACCCGCGAUAGGACGGAAAGACCCCGUAGAGCUUUACUGCAACUUGGCAUUGGAUCUCGGCAUUGGAUGUACAGAAUAGGUGGGAGACGGAGAACCUAGGACGCCAGUCUUAGGGGAGUCACCUUUGGGAUACCACUCUUCUGAUGUUGGGACUCUAACACUGUGCCGUAAUCCGGGCAGUGGACAGUACCAGGUGGGCAGUUUGACUGGGGCGGUCGCCUCCGAAAGAGUAACGGAGGCGCCCAAAGGUUUCCUCAGCAUGGUCGGAAAUCAUGCGUAAGAGUGCAAAGGCAUAAGGAAGCUUGACUGCGAGAGAGACAUUUCGAGCAGGUACGAAAGUAGGGCUUAGUGAUCCGGCGGUAUGAGAGUGGAAUUGCCGUCGCUCAACGGAUAAAAGCUACCUCGGGGAUAACAGGCUUAUCUCCCCCAAGAGUCCACAUCGACGGGGAGGUUUGGCACCUCGAUGUCGGCUCGUCGCAUCCUGGGGCUGUAGUAGGUCCCAAGGGUUUGGCUGUUCGCCAAUUAAAGCGGCACGCGAGCUGGGUUCAGAACGUCGCGAGACAGUUCGGUCCCUAUCCAUCGUGGGCGUAAGAAGUUUGAGAGGAGCUGUCCUUAGUACGAGAGGACCGGGAUGGACGCACCUCUGGUGUACCAGUUGUUCUGCCAAGGGCAUAGCUGGGUAGCUAAGUGCGGAAGGGAUAAACGCUGAAGGCAUCUAAGCGUGAAGCCCCCCUCAAGAUAAGACUUCUCAUCCUUUAAGGAGUAAGACCCCUUGUAGACUAUGAGGUUGAUAGGUCGCAGGUGGAAGUGCAGUAAUGUAUGCAGCUGAGCGAUACUAAUAGGUCGAGGGCUUGAUCAAA